AACGCACCUUGCGCUCCUGGGCUAUUCCUAGGAGCAUGCCUGUUUGAGUGUCGUGAAAUCAUCAACCCCAGUUGGAUUUGAAAUUUGACUGGUGGCUUGGACUUGGGGGUUUGCUGGCCGUUUUGAUUCGGUCUGGCUCCCCUUGAAUGUAUUAGCUCGAACCUUUUGUGGAUCAGCUUAUCGGUGUGAUAAAAUGUCUACGCCGUUACUGUGAAGCAUAUUAUUCGGCUUCCAAUCGUCCUUCACGGGACAAUAACCUUGACCUUUGACCUCAAAUCAGGUAGGAUUACCCGCUGAACUUAA
rnacentral:rRNA from 1 species